GACGAACGCUGGCGGCGUGCUUAACACAUGCAAGUCGAACGGAAAGGCCCUGCUUUUGUGGGGUGCUCGAGUGGCGAACGGGUGAGUAACACGUGAGUAACCUGCCCUUGACUUUGGGAUAACUUCAGGAAACUGGGGCUAAUACCGGAUAGGAGCUCCUGCUGCACGGGGGGGGUUGGAAAGUUUCGGCGGUUGGGGAUGGACUCGCGGCUUAUCAGCUUGUUGGUGGGGUAGUGGCUUACCAAGGCUUUGACGGGUAGCCGGCCUGAGAGGGUGACCGGCCACAUUGGGACUGAGAUACGGCCCAGACUCCUACGGGAGGCAGCAGUGGGGAAUAUUGCACAAUGGGCGGAAGCCUGAUGCAGCAACGCCGCGUGCGGGAUGACGGCCUUCGGGUUGUAAACCGCUUUCGCCUGUGACGAAGCGUGAGUGACGGUAAUGGGUAAAGAAGCACCGGCUAACUACGUG
rnacentral:rRNA from 1 species